rnacentral:misc_RNA from 1 species
GAUGAAGAACGUAGCGAAAUGCGAUAAGUAAUGUGAAUUGCAGAAUUCAGUGAAUCAUCGAAUCUUUGAACGCACCUUGCGCCCUUUGGCUAUUCCGAAGGGCAUGCCUGUUUGAGUAUCGUGAACACCUCAACUCUCAUGGUUUGCCAUGAUGAGCUUGGACUUGGGGGUUUUGCUGGCCUUCGGUCGGCUCCUCUCAAACGGAUCAGCUUUCCAGUGUUUGGUGGCGUCACGGGUGUGAUAACUAUCUACGCCUGUGGUUUUCUACCAGAUAACCUUCAGCGAUGGAGGUUCGCUGGGGCUCAUAAAUGUCUCUCUUCAGUGGAGACAGCUUUUUGGACGUUUGAUCUCAAAUCAGGUAGGACUACCCGCUGAACUUAAGCAUAUCAAUAAGCGGAGGA